rnacentral:rRNA from 1 species
CCUACGGGUGGCAGCAGUAGGGAAUCUUCCACAAUGGACGAAAGUCUGAUGCAGCAACGCCGCGUGAGUGAAGAAGGCCUUCGGCUCGUAAAGCUCUGUUGGUAGUGAAGAAAAAUAGAGGUAGUAACUGGCCUUUAUUUGACGGUAUUUACUUAGACAGUCACGGCUAACUACGUGCCAGCAGCCGCGGUAAUACGUAGGUGGCAAGCGUUGUCCGGAUUUAUUGGGCGUAAAGCGAGUGCAGGCGGUUGGAUAAGUCUGAUGUGAAAUCCUUCGGCUCAACCGGAGAAUUGCAUCAGAAACUGUUGAACUUGAGUGCAGAAGAGGAGAGUGGAACUCCAUGUGUAGCGGUGGAAUGCGUAGAUAUAAGGAAGAACACCAGUGGCGAAGGCGGCUCACUGGACUGCAACUGACGCUGAGGCUCGAAAGCAUGGGUAGCGAACAGGAUUAGAUACCCCAGUAGUC